UCCCUCUGCUUUGUUCCCCGGCGAAGGCCGGGGUCCAGUUUCGGGGAGGGAAGCGAGGGUGCGAAACCUCACCGCCCGCAUCGUAACUGGACCCCGGCCUUCGCCGGGGAACGCAGUACUGUGU
rnacentral:miRNA from 1 species